GCGUUGUUCGGAAUUACUGGGCGUAAAGAGUGUGUAGGCGGUGCUCUAAGUUCGGUGUGAAAUCUCCCGGCUUAACUGGGAGGGUGCGCCGGAAACUGGAGUGCUCGAGCGUGGGAGAGGAAAGCGGAAUUCCUGGUGUAGCGGUGAAAUGCGUAGAUAUCAGGAGGAACGCCUGCGGUGUAGACGGCUUUCUGGACCAUUGCUGACGCUGAGACACGAAAGCGUGGGUAGCAAACAGG
rnacentral:rRNA from 1 species